rnacentral:rRNA from 1 species
UACGGAGGGUGCAAACGUUGUUCGGAAUUAUUGGGCGUAAAGCGCACGUAGGCGGCUAUGCAGGUCGGAUGUGAAAUCCCGGGGCUCAACCCCGGGCCUGCGUUCGAAACCGCAUAGCUGGAGUAUCGGAGGGAAAGGGGGAAUUCCUGGUGUAGGGGUGAAAUCCGUAGAUAUCAGGAGGAACACCGGUGGCGAAGGCGCCCUUUUGGCCGAUUACUGACGCUGAGGUGCGAAAGCGUGGGGAGCAAAC